rnacentral:sRNA from 1 species
UUACAAAGAUUGUGCUUACUUUUGAAAGUAUAUUUGCUCCUCAACACUAAACCUAAAACCUUAAACCCUAAACAUAAAUCCUACACCCUAAACUAAAAAUCCAAAACCCUAAAACCUAAACCCAAAACCCUAAACCCUAAACUCUUUACCCUAAACCCUUAAACCUAAACCCAAAACCAUAGUCCCCAAACUUUAUAACCAAAAUCCUACUUUAGCUUCUGGAAGCCGGUUGCGGUUCUAGUUCUUAUGCUCAACGAUACACAAAGCAUCUAGUCAUAUUUGGCGGUUCAGAGCACUACUUUGCCGAUAAUAUACAAACAAAA